GACGAACGCUGGCGGCGUGCCUAAUACAUGCAAGUAGAACGCUGAAGAGAGGAGCUUACUCUUCUUGGAUGAGUUGCGAACGGGUGAGUAACGCGUAGGUAACCUGCCUUGUAGCGGGGGAUAACUAUUGGAAACGAUAGCUAAUACCGCAUAACAAUGGAUGACACAUGUCAUUUAUUUGAAAGGGGCAAUUGCUCCACUACAAGAUGGACCUGCGUUGUAUUAGCUAGUAGGUGAGGUAAUGGCUCACCUAGGCGACGAUACAUAGCCGACCUGAGAGGGUGAUCGGCCACACUGGGACGGAGACACGGCCCAGACUCCUACGGGAGGCAGCAGUAGGGAAUCUUCGGCAAUGGGGGCAACCCUGACCGAGCAACGCCGCGUGAGUGAAGAAGGUUGUCGGAUCGUAAAGCUCUGUUGUAAGUCAAGAACGGGUGUGAGAGUGGAAAGUUCACACUGUGACGGUAGCUCACCAGAAAGGGACGGCUAACUACGUG
rnacentral:rRNA from 1 species